UGCGUAGGCUGUUCUUCAAGUCAGAUGUGAAAGACCGGAGCUCAACUCCGGAACUGCAUCCGAUACUGGGGAGCUAGAGGGCUCGAGGGGAGUGUGGAAUUCACGGUGUAGCAGUGAAAUGCGUAGAUAUCGUGAGGAACACCAGUGGCGAAGGCGACACUCUGGAGAGCAACUGACGCUGAGGCACGAAGGCCAGGGGAGCGAACG
rnacentral:rRNA from 1 species